GGCGCGUGCUGCCUGAGUGGAGGGGCCCCAGAGCCGUGAGAGGGUGUGGCCCGCGCCGGACGGGCCAGAGACUGGGCGGAACUGCGGAGCAGCGAUUACAACACAACCUGAAGGCUGACCAUGUGAGGACACAGUGAGAAGACAGUCAUCCGCAAGCCAAAGGGAGAGACUUCAGAAGAGACUAAACCUGCUGACACCUUGAUCUUGGACUUCUCACCUGCAGAACUAAAGGAGUCAACCCGGAAUGAGAGAAGCCAACGGACAAGCAAAAGAUCACACAAGCGAAUUAGUUGUGCCUAUCUGGAUAAGAAUUUAGGUCUCCUGAUUCUUGGUCCUGCAGUCUUUCUGUGUCAUUACAUCAGGGCGACAAGCAACAACAGGUUUUUAAAUGUAUUUGAAUAAUCACUUGAAUGACGUGAGCAAAGAAAAAAAUGUCCUUAUAGCCUGGUUGUACUUGCUAACCUAAUAAAGACAGUGUAUUCCGGAAUA